CCUACGGGAGGCAGCAGUAGGGAAUCUUCCACAAUGGGCGCAAGCCUGAUGGAGCAACACCGCGUGAGUGAAGAAGGGUUUCGGCUCGUAAAGCUCUGUUGUUGGAGAAGAACGUGCGUGAGAGUAACUGUUCACGCAGUGACGGUAUCCAACCAGAAAGUCUCGGCUAACUACGUGCCAGCAGCUGCGGUAAUACGUAGGAGGCAAGCGUUAUCCGGAUUUAUUGGGCGUAAAGCGAGCGCAGGCGGUUGCUUAGGUCUGAUGUGAAAGUCUUCGGCUUAACCGAAGAAGUGCAACGGAUACCGGCAGACUUGAGUGCAGAAGAGGACGGCGGAACUCCAGGUGUAGCGGUGGAAUGCGUAGAUAUAUGGAAGAACACCGGUGGCGAAGGCAGCUGUCUAGUCUGCAACUGACACUGAGGCUCGAAAGCAUGGGUAGCGAACAGGAUUAGAUACCCCAGUAGUC
rnacentral:rRNA from 1 species